CACGUAGUUAGCCGGUGCUUCUUUACCCAUUACCGUCACUCACGCUUCGUCACAGGCGAAAGCGGUUUACAACUCGAAGGCCGUCAUCCCGCACGCGGCGUUGCUGCAUCAGGCUUCCGCCCAUUGUGCAAUAUUCCCCACUGCUGCCUCCCGUAGGAGUCUGGGCCGUAUCUCAGUCCCAAUGUGGCCGGUCACCCUCUCAGGCCGGCUACCCGUCAAAGCCUUGGUAAGCCACUACCCCACCAACAAGCUGAUAAGCCGCGAGUCCAUCCCCAACCGCCGAAACUUUCCAACCCCCACCAUGCAGCAGGAGCUCCUAUCCGGUAUUAGCCCCAGUUUCCUGAAGUUAUCCCAAAGUCAAGGGCAGGUUACUCACGUGUUACUCACCCGUUCGCCACUCGAGCACCCCACAAAAGCAGGGCCUUUCCGUUCGACUUGCAUGUGUUAAGCACGCCGCCAGCGUUCGUCCUGAGCCAGGAUCAAACUCU
rnacentral:rRNA from 1 species